rnacentral:tRNA from 1 species
UGCUUGGGUAGCUCAGUUGGUAGAGCACUUGCCCGCGGAAGGCAGAGGUCCCGAGUUCGAGUCUCGGUCCGGCAC